GGCAGGGGUGUUACUUUUGCAGGGAGUGCAAAAGAAUCAAAUAUGUCAACUGAUGGAACUGUGAGUGUGACUUCAGAAUUGGCUCUGAUAAUAAGGAUUGUGGAGCUACAGUUCUGAAUGCCUCUUUUAACAUGCUUUCCACUUUGUUGACAGAGACUCAGCACAUACACUACAGGCUGGAAGUGACAGAUGGAUGUUAAAUCUUUAAUGGUGGUCUAGUGAGAGAGAAAAAACUUUGGAAAAGGAAGCUCUUGCCUCAAGGAUGGGGAAUCCAAUGAAGGUGCUGCUUCCAGCCUGUAUCUUUGAAUGAAGUUUAAUUUGUUUUAUCAAACUUUUCUGUAUAUUACCUGAAAAGGGAUGCCCUUAUGGAAUUCAAUGUGGACUUCAUGGCCACAGAGAAAGAGGAACAGCACUUGAUUUAUGGAAGUCUAGAGAAUCCAUGUCUGUGGGAUUUUGUAUAUUAGUCAAUGCCAUUCUCCUGAGUUCUAACACAAAUGCUCCUUUUUACCACAUGAGGAAUUUAGAGGACUUCCAAACAGCAGAAGACUUAUAAAAUAUCUUCUAAGAAAAAGAACAAAGGAUUCUAAGAGGACUUCGAAAGGGCAGGAGACAAUUCCAGGAAGCCAGGCACAAGUGUAAUUCUUUGAAGAACUAUAAAGUUUACAUACUCAAUGGCUAUGGAAAAUGAUGAGGUUGGAGGCAAGGAACUGCUUGUUUGAAAAUGGAAGCUGACUUCUGGAUUGUCAUCUCCAUCCUCAGAACAGUGAACAGGACAUUCCAGCAAAGGUUUAUUAGACAACAUCUUACGAUAGUGACUUUUGUUUAAAUGUUUGUUGAUUUCAGUUAUCUGAAUUGAAGCUUCUAAGAGCCAACAGAGACCGGUUUCUUCUAAAAAGUUCCAGGUUUUAUUGCUGUCACCAUUUAAUUUGCACAGAGAACUUAGGGUCCAAUUGAUGGUGCUCUGCAGAUGUAACUAAGUCCUGGAAAUCUUAUUGAAAUGUUUGGUAUUUCAACUUCCAGGCCAUUUGCAAGGCAGAAUUGAUUCUUGUACCUAAAUAUGGGUGAGAAUCCAUGCAUGAAUCAGUUUAAUAAAAUUCUUAUGUGAUCAAAUAGUCA
rnacentral:lncRNA from 1 species